rnacentral:rRNA from 1 species
ACACGCAUGACACACUGCAUAUCAAUAAGCGGAGGAAAAGAAACUAACAAGGAUUCCCUUAGUAACGGCGAGUGAAGCGGGAAGAGCUCAAAUUUGAAAUCUUCAAGGUUCUACCUUGACGAAUUGUAGUUUAUAGAAGUGUUUUCUGUUAGUAGAGUGGCAAAAGUUCUUUGGAAUAGGACAUCAUAGAGGGUGAGAAUCCCGUAUUUGGUCAUUCUUUCUAGCUUUGUGAUACACUUUCAACGAGUCGGAUUGUUUGGGAAUGCAGUCCAAAAUGGGUGGUAAAUUUCAUCUAAAGCUAAAUAUUGGCGAGAGACCGAUAGCGAACAAGUACCGUGAGGGAAAGAUGAAAAGAACUUUGAAAAGAGAGUUAAACAGUACGUGAAAUUGUCAAAAGGGAAGCGUUUGACACCAGUGUUGUUUUUCCGAAAAUCAAUUACGAAUGUUUUGUUUUUGAGGAGUUAUGACUUCAUCGGCUUGCUUCUCUCUUUACGAAACUUUCUUAAUGCACUUUUCGGUUAACAAGUCAACAUCAAUUUCUUUUGUUGUAAAAGGGUAUGAGGAAGGUGGCUUUCUUUUCGGAGAAAGUGUUUAUAGCCUUGUGCCUCUGCAAUCGGAGAGAUUGAGGUCUGCAGCGUAGAUCCUUCGGGGUUAGAUACAUUUGUGCUAAGUUAUAGCCUUUCAUAGACAACUUGUUGACUAUGAUCAGUCAUGUAGCUUACUCGCUUAUGUCUAUUUUACCUACGCUUAGGAUGUUGA